rnacentral:rRNA from 1 species
GACGAACGCUGGCGGCGUGCCUAAUACAUGCAAGUAGAACGCAGUUGCGAACGGGUGAGUAACGUGUAGGUAACUGCCUCAUAGCGGGGGAUAACUAUUGGAAACGAUAGCUAAUACCGCAUACUGUGAGAUGGACCUGCGUUGUAUUAGCUAGUUGGUGAGGUAAAGGCUCACCAAGGCGACGAUACAUAGCCGACCUGAGAGGGUUAUCGGGCAAACUGGGACUGGGACACGGCCCAAGCUCCUACUGGGAGCAGCAGUAGGGAAUCAUCGGCAAUGGACGGAAGUCUGACCGAGCACAGCCGCGUGAGUGGAGAAGGGUUUCGGAGCGUAAAGCUCUGUUGUUAGGGAAGCGGUACCUAACCAGGAAGGGACGGCUAACUACGUGCCAGCAGCCGCGGUAAUUC